rnacentral:rRNA from 1 species
UACGAAGGGGGCUAGCGUUGCUCGGAAUCACUGGGCGUAAAGGGCGCGUAGGCGGCGUGUUAAGUCAGCUGUGAAAUCUCCAAGCUUAACUUGGAACGGUCAGCUGAUACUGAUGUGCUAGAGUGCAGAAGGGGCAACCGGAAUUCUUGGUGUAGCGGUGAAAUGCGUAGAUAUCAAGAGGAACACCUGAGGUGAAGACGGGUUGCUGGGCUGACACUGACGCUGAGGCGCGAAAGCUAGGGUAGCAAACGGG